CCGCCACUAGCUCAUCAGGAUAGAGCAGCAGCCUUCCGGGUUGUUGGUACGAGGUUCAAAUCCUCGGUGGCGGACCA
rnacentral:tRNA from 1 species